rnacentral:rRNA from 1 species
GACGAACGCUGGCGGCGUGCUUAACACAUGCAAGUCGAGCGGAGCGGCGAACGGGUGAGUAACGCCUGAGUAACUGCCACCCUCUCUUGGAUAACAGUUGGAAACGGCUGCUAAUACCGGAUAGUGUGGGAUGACGCGCGUCCUAUCAGCUUGUUGGGGGGGUAGUGGCCUACCAAGGCGACGACGGGUCGCCGGCCUGAGAGGGCGACCGGCCACACUUGGCUGAGAUACGGCCCAAAGUCCUACGGGGGGCAGCAGUGGGGAAUAUUGCCCAGUGGGGCAACCCCUGAUGCAGACACGCCGCGUGCGGGAUGUCGGCCUUCGGGUUGUAAACCGCUUUCAGCCAUGACGCGGUAGUGGCAGAAGAAGCACCGGCUAACUACGUGCCAGCAGCCGCGGUAAUUC